rnacentral:lncRNA from 1 species
UGGCACUCACUAAAUAACAUUCACACUUAGCAAGCACAAUUUCUGGAAGUUCUGCCAACAGUGACAUACUCCCCUUAAAAAGGGUGUAACUUUUAAUCUAGGGGGUUUUUCAAGAUGAUCUUUCAUGCAACUUUAAUUAUUCUCAUAAAUAUUUCAAAUGGCGGUGGUUUGGAAGAAAAUAAGUCCCUUUUGAUCAGUCAAAAACCGUGGCAAUAGAGGCAUCAUUUCUGAGAUUUUAUGAAAGCUGUCCACAGUGACCUAGUGGCGUAUUAUAGACUAUAUAUUCUCAUUCGUGAUGGAUUUAAACAAGGUUUGGCCAUGAAAAUUGUAUUAGACACCUAUGUGGUUCAAAUGGUGGUGAUUUGGAGGAAUUUGGACACUUAUAGUUGUCGAAAAGUUCGGUACAAAGUAGAUGACAGUAGCUGGAAUUUCUGCUAUCU